rnacentral:lncRNA from 1 species
GGAAAUGUGUCCCAAAAAGCCAAUCGUCAAGCUGUUGACGGUUGAGCAACCAAGUAUUGUAAUUGAUUUGUUAAUAAAUAAAAUAUAUUUGAUAUUUUCAUCAUAAGCUUUCAUCUUCUAAUGAACUCCGUUGUUAUGAUGAAGUUCUUAGGACUAUUUAGAUUCGAUAAAGAGAGGAUUUAUCGAUUAGUCCUUAAAACUGUUCACGACCAAAU